CCACCACAAAACAAUAUGUGCUAAUAAUAACCAUAUUUGGGUGCUGGGGGAGAUGACGGAUCCUUGGAGUGCUGAUGGAGUUGCGUUGAUAUUCCCAGGAACAGUUGUUAGGGCAGCUGGCUUUGACUAGUUUACAUAUUAUUACUAGUAGUUCUAAUCAUCUUUGUUUAUUGUUGUUGGAGCACUUAGGAACCUCAGUUGUGAACCAGGAUUCCACUGUGCUUGGCACUGCACAACCCAGUACAAAAAGAGCUACCAAUCUAAGUAGAAGACAAGAGACAACAGAAGGGUCAAACAGACAGUGGAUUACAAGGUGGCUGGGGUCCAGAAGCUGCUCCUGAAGUACGUGUAAAUACAUUUGUACAAAUGUGUGUACCUGUUGAACAAUCAAGGGAGCUACUUCAUUAUCUAUGGAUCCCAAAUCAGAAUUCAACAUAUAUAUAUUUUAUACUAACACACUUUAUAUAUUGUUUAAUGGAAAACACCUGUGUACUAAUUGUCAUGUGUUAACCUGAAACCAUGGGCGGAGACAUUAUGUAGCCUUUUGACCAUUGGCUACUGUGCUUAUCUUGUCUUGCUGCUAGACCUAUCCAGGGGUUUGGGACUGCCUACCCCGUCAUUUCCCUCCACCCAUGGAAAAUCCAUAUAAUCCAUUGUAAUCAAUUGUUUGGCAGUGUCUCUGAGCCUAAUAAGCGAGGUGACGCUCUGUCAGCGCUGUACGUAAUA